AACUUUCGGCAAUGGAUCACUUGGUUCUGGCAUCGAUGAAGAACGCAGCGAAAUGCGAUAAGUAAUGUGAAUUGCAGAAUUCAGUGAAUCAUCGAAGCUUUGAACGCACAUUGCGCCCCCUGGUAUUCCGGGGGGCAUGCCUGUCCGAGCGUCAUUACAACCCUCAAGCUCAGCUUGGUGUUGGGCCCCGCCGCCCCGGCGGGCCCUAAAGUCAGUGGCGGUGCCGUCCGGCUCCGAGCGUAGUAAUUCUUCUCGCUCUGGAGGUCCGGUCGUGUGCUUGCCAUCAACCCCCAAUUUUUCUCAGGUUGACCUCGGAUCAGGUAGGGAUACCCGCUGAACUUAAGCAUAUCAAUAAGCGGAGGCU
rnacentral:misc_RNA from 1 species